rnacentral:rRNA from 1 species
UACGAAGGGGGCUAGCGUUGCUCGGAAUCACUGGGCGUAAAGGGCGCGUAGGCGGCCAUUCAAGUCGGGGGUGAAAGCCUGUGGCUCAACCACAGAAUUGCCUUCGAUACUGUUUGGCUUGAGUUUGGUAGAGGUUGGUGGAACUGCGAGUGUAGAGGUGAAAUUCGUAGAUAUUCGCAAGAACACCAGUGGCGAAGGCGGCCAACUGGACGAAUACUGACGCUGAGACACGAAAGCGUGGGGAGCAAACAGG